rnacentral:rRNA from 1 species
AUUGAACGCUGGCGGCAUGCCUUACACAUGCAAGUCGAACGGCAGCAUGGGUGCUUGCACCUGAUGGCGAGUGGCGAACGGGUGAGUAAUGCAUCGGAACGUACCCGGAAGUGGGGGAUAACGUAGGGAAAGUUACGCUAAUACCGCAUAUUCUGGGAGCAGGAAAGUGGGGUAUGGCAAGACCUGCCGCUUCCGGAGCGGCGAAGUUCGGAUUAGCUAGUUGGUGGGGUAAAGGCCCACCAAGGCAACGAUCCGUAGCGGGUCUGAGAGGAUGAUCCGCCACACUGGGACUGAGACACGGCCCAGACUCCUACGGGAGGCAGCAGUGGGGAAUUUUGGACAAUGGGGGCAACCCUGAUCCAGCCAUGCCGCGUGAGUGAAGAAGGCCUUCGGGUUGUAAAGCUCUUUCGGCCGGGAAGAAAUCGCACAGGUUAAUACCUUGUGUGGAUGACGGUACCGGAAUAAGAAGCACCGGCUAACUACGUGCCAGCAGCCGCCGCGGUAA